rnacentral:rRNA from 1 species
UACGUAGGAGGCAAGCGUUAUCCGGAUUUACUGGGUGUAAAGGGGGCGCAGACGGCGAUGCAAGCCAGGAGUGAAAGCCCGGGGCCCAACCCCGGGACUGCUCUUGGAACUGCGUGGCUGGAGUGCAGGAGGGGCAGGCGGAAUUCCUGGUGUAGCGGUGAAAUGCGUAGAUAUCAGGAGGAACACCGGUGGCGAAGGCGGCCUGCUGGACUGCAACUGACGUUGAGGCCCGAAAGCGUGGGGAGCAAACAGG